GAAGAGAUGGCUCAGUGGUUAAGAGUACUGACUGCCCAUCUGGAGAACUCAGGUUCAAUUCCUGGUACCUGCA
rnacentral:tRNA from 1 species